CCUACGGGAGGCAGCAGUGAGGAAUAUUGGUCAAUGGGCGGAAGCCUGAACCAGCCAAGUAGCGUGCGGGAUGAAGGCCCUACGGUUCGUAAACCUCUUUUGCACGGGGAUAACACCCUCCACUUGUGGAUGUCUGCAGGUACCGUGCGAAUAAGGGCCGGCUAAUUCCGUGCCAGCAGCCGCGGUAAUACGGAGGGCCCGAGCGUUAUCCGGAUUCAUUGGGCUUAAGGGGUGCGUAGGCGGGCUUUUAAGUCAGCUGUAAAAGCGCGGGGCUCAACCCCGGCCCGCCGUUGAAACUGGCAGUCUCGAGUUGGAGAGAGGUAUGCGGAAUGCGCGGUGUAGCGGUGAAAUGCAUAGAUAUCGCGCAGAACUCCGAUUGCGAAGGCAGCAUGCCGGCUCCACACUGACGCUGAGGCACGAAAGCGUGGGUAUCGAACAGGAUUAGAUACCCUUGUAGUC
rnacentral:rRNA from 1 species